CAAUGAUUCAAUGAUCUCAUACAUGUAGUCUAGCCUUUCUUUUUCUCUUACCAUUGUGCCUAAUAUUGAAAAAUCUCAGAAAAUUUGACUGUUGAUAUCAUGUGAAAUAUCCCCACAACAUUACUUAUCAUAGCAGGUGGCAUAUUUAAGAGGGAAAUCCACGCCACAUAGAGGGAACAGUUUUGAGUCACAAAUUGAAGUGAUGGCUCCCAGUUUUUUCCCUUGGAAGGAGUACCUGGACACACUGCUGUUUUAAGUAUCAAGAGUUCUUCAGAAUAUUUGUAUUUGUGCCCUUUGUGGGCCCAGGAAGUGCAAGCAGAAGGUUGCCUGACUUCGUAGCACAAUACCCAGUGCUUUCUAGUGUACAUGCAAAUUUGGUCCAUAUAGUUUAAGCCUAAUGGAGGAGUUUAACCAGAACUCCCUGUUCUAAUAGGGCAGCCUUGAACAUACCAGGAAGCAACAGGAAAAAACUGGAGAAAGUGAAAAUGCUGCGAUGAAGGAAAAGAGGAGACAAACAAGGGUGACAUUGGCUGGGCAGCAAAGAUGACCAAAAGGCCAAGAAGCCUGUGCUGUUCCAGUAUUGAUCCGGCGCUCCUCCGUCACCAUCCGACCACAGAACCUCAGGCUGAUAGUUGUUCACUAACUCAUAGAGCUCUGGCAAUGUCUUAGAAACUGGAAAUUGCCGCUUAUGGAAUGAACUGGAUUCAUCCUCAAGGAAGAGCGGAUGAAACCAUUCAAAAAGGGAAUAGUACAGUCCAAAACGCAGGUCAGUUCUGUUCCUAAUGGCUACCUCAAGUUCCUUGACAAUGUCCCUCUUGGGCCCCUCAUCUAUGGCAUUCCAGUUCCACGAAUAUUCUGACCCCCACAAGGUAAAGCCUAGAAAAUUAUAGUGAAAACCCUUGUAAGCAUGUCAACUUUAUUUUAGUAAAUUUCAACCCACACAAAUGCCCAAACAAAUCACACAGUACAUGCGAUAUAUAAAUACCUGCUCCUACAAAUGACUGUUUUAUGGCCAUUUUUUCAUAGCAUAUAUCGUGCUUUUAUAUGAGAAGUGAGAAUUUAAACAAGGUGAGACUGAGGUUUUUAAAAGCAACUUUCGGGGUAUAUCACUGUAUGGUCUGAUCUAUCUCCAGUAUUUUCCCUCUUAGAUUUUAAGGUCCUUGAGGGAUUGCAUCAUGUCUGCAGUCCUCCCUGCUAUGUCUUCAGCCAAC
rnacentral:lncRNA from 1 species